AAGCUAGAAUUGUAGAAGCAUAUAUACUAAAACUGGAAUGAUACAAGAUUAGCACGGCCCCACGCAAGGAUGACACAAAUUCACGUAAUGUUCCGUGUUUUU